UACGAAGGGGGCUAGCGUUGCUCGGAAUCACUGGGCGUAAAGCGCACGUAGGCGGAUCUUUAAGUCAGGGGUGAAAUCCCGGGGCUCAACCUCGGAACUGCCUUUGAUACUGCGAAUCUUGAGUCCGAUAGAGGUGGGUGGAAUUCCUAGUGUAGAGGUGAAAUUCGUAGAUAUUAGGAAGAACACCAGUGGCGAAGGCGGCCCACUGGAUCGGUACUGACGCUGAGGUGCGAAAGCGUGGGGAGCAAACAGG
rnacentral:rRNA from 1 species